rnacentral:tRNA from 1 species
GGGGACAUAGCUCAGUUGGUUAGAGCCGUCCGCUCAUAACGGACUGGUCGCAGGUUCGAGUCCUUCUGUCCCCACCA